rnacentral:rRNA from 1 species
UGAGCAAUCUGCCCUUCUCAUCGGAAUAAGCGUUGGAAACGACGUCUAAUGCCGAAUACGACCUCCUUUCGCAUGAUCGGAGGUGGAAAGCUCCGGCGGAGAAGGAUGAGCUCGCGGCCUAUCAGCUAGUUGGUGUGGGUAAUGGCCCACCAAGGCGACGACGGGUAGCCGGCCUGAGAGGGUGACCGGCCACAUUGGAACUGAGACACGGUCCAGACCUCCGUACGGGAGCAG